AAACAAACAACCCCAUGAAAAAGUGGGCAAAGGAUAUGAACAGACACUUCUCAAAAGAAGACAUUCAUGCAGCCAAAAAACACAUGAAAAAAUGCUCAUCAUCACUGGCCAUCAGAGAAAUGCAAAUCAAAACCACAAUGAGAUACCAUCUCACACCAGUUAGAAUGGCAAUCAUUAAAAAGUCAGGAAACAACAGGUGCUGGAGAGGAUGUGGAGAAAUAGGAACACUUUUACACUGUUGGUGGGACUGUAAACUAGUUCAACCAUUGUGGAAGUCAGUGUGGCGAUUCCUCAGGGAUCCAGAACUAGAAAUACCAUUUGACCCAGCCAUCCCAUUACUGGGCAUAUACCUAAAGGAUUAUAAAUCAUGCAGCUAUAAAGACACAUGCACACAUAUGUUUAUUGCGGCACUAUUCACAAUAGCAAAGACUUGGAACCAACCUAAAUGUCCAACAACGAUAGACUAGAUUAAGAAAAUGUGGCACAUAUACACCAUGGAAUACUAUGCAGCCAUAAAAAAUGAAGAGUUCAUGUCCUUUGUAGGGACAUGGAUGAAACUGGAUGGCUUCCAAUGAUCCUCCUGCCUUGGCCUCCUAAAAUACUGGGAUUACAGGUUGUGAGCCACUGUGCCCAGCUUCUACAUUUUGAUUGUGCUGUUUACAUUAACCAAAUCCUGCAGGUAGAUGUGCUCUUGAGUGAACUCACGGUGGUGUCCCUAUAGUGAAAUGGGUACUUGAAGAGACGUCUGCUGUGGGCAGGAGAGGCAGGAAUGCUGGAGAAUAUAUUCUUGGGGUGAGACCCUCAGGAUGACAAAAAGUCUCCAAGCAAGAAGGUGGUCAUGUGUCGGCCUCCGUAGUGGAAGGAGCAACAGGUGCACCAGCAUGGGCUUCUGCCGCGACAGCCCUGCGGAGAAAGGCGUGGUGCACUUGAUGGAGACGGGAGGUGGGUUCAUGGGAGUUUCUCUUUCGUUCACUUUACUUUUUCUAGGGAGUGUCUUCCCCAGCCAUCCUCACAUCCACUGUUCCCAACCACCAUCCACUUACCAAAACGUACACAUUCUAUGUAGCAUUUUCUCAAAAGAUUAUUAUUAUUAUUGAGAUGGAGUCUCGUUCUGUCUCCCAGGCUGGAGUGCAGUAACGCGAUCUUGGCUCACUGCACUUCUGCCUCCCGGGUUCAAGGGAUUUUCCUGCCUCAGUCUCCAGAGUAACUGUGAUUACAGGCACCUGCCAGCAUGCCCGGCUAGUUUUUUUGUACUUUUAGUAGAGACGGGGUUUCACCAUGUUGGCCAGGCUGGUCUCAAACUCCUAACCUCAGGCGAUCCGCCUGCCCGGCCUCCCAAAAUGCUGGGAUUACAGGCAUGAGCCACCGCGCCCAGAUAUUUUAAAUUAUACAUAAUUUCAUUCAUGUUAGCUAGUUAAUACAAUAGGACCAAAAUCUAUAUAUUAACAGGGAUUUGGAUGAAUUAAAUGUGAAAUAAAAAUCAUAGUUAUUAUAGGGGAUUCCCAUAUAUAUUUUAUGUGCAUAUAUGCAUCUAUUUGAUUACUAUCUAUAUUGUGUGUCUGCACAAAUAUAUAUUUUAUAUUAUCUUAUAUAAUAUAUAUUUACAUAUCUAUAUAAUCACACAUGAUAUAUAUAAUUUCUAUGUAAUUAUACAUUAUAUAUUAUAUUAUAUAAUAUAGAAGUAUAUGUUAUAAUAUAUUAUAUAAUAUAAAAGUAUAUAUUAUAAUAUAUACUUCUAGACUAUGUCCUA
rnacentral:lncRNA from 1 species